CACAAUCCAAACUCUCUCCUUUUCUCUUUCUUCCUCAGCUGCUAAUUCCCUUCCCGCUCCAUUCCCAGAGACAAAUCCUUACCGCUUCCCUUUCUGUUCCGCAUUCUACCUGUCCCGCGAUCUCUCUCAGGGCAAAGCUAGGACCUGCAAAGUGCAAAUGAAGUCUGCAUCCAUUAGGCUCACUCCCUAGAAAAGGGCGUUUACGGUUGCCUAGGAUUUGAGACAAUCUCCGAGGUCCCUCCAAGUUCCCUCUUCUCUUAAGGCUUCCUUCCUCACCCGCAAGGUCCCUUCCAGCUUCCCCUCUGCAUCGGUUCGCACACACCCUUCAUUCCCGCUACAGACCCCUCCCAAAAACACCACCUCCUCACUUCCCUGGCCCCCUCGCCUUCCCAUCCUUCCAAACUUAGCUUCACUCUGAGCAACAAGGGCGCAGCGCUCUGUCCCGGGUGCUGCUGCUGCUGCUACUGUGGAAAUUCUAGAGUUUUAACUACUUCAUUUGUUCCCGUCUUUCAUUUCUCCCCCCCUCUCUCUUAACUCAGUAUCCGUUUUUCAAGACAGCGUCUUCAAGUCUCUGGAAAGUAGGAUGGAGAGAGAUUUUCCCCCUCCUCCCUUUUCAUGUUAAAGUCCCCCCACAACACCCUGCUGGGUUUGGCUUGCCUUGAGUUUAUUCCCCAAGCCUCCUUUAGGAGAGCAAGUUUCUGAUCAGGCUGCAAGUGCAUCAUCUCUCGGUGCUGGAAGUAACUCAGUUCAACGGGGGCUGGAGGAUCUCCGCUGCCUUUUCUCCUGCAGGAUUCCCAAGGCAUGUGGUUGGCCUCUGCAAGAACAGAGAACAUGGGUCUUUAGCCUUUUCCCAAAGAGCAUCUCUGUAUGCUCUGAACUGGUAAUUUUUGAACUAUGUAUGUGUAUUUUUGUGUAUGUGUGGGUUAAUAAUACUUUAUAAGCAAAUUCCUUUGUGACUCCUGUUGCUAAUACUGAUAGUUUCAGGGCAAACAUUUCUGUGCUGCAUGUCAGAGCAACUUUUGAUGUGUGAAAGAUGUAGUUAUUUUGAAGAUAAC
rnacentral:lncRNA from 1 species